rnacentral:rRNA from 1 species
UACGGGGGGGGCAAGCGUUGUUCGGAAUUACUGGGCGUAAAGGGCUCGUAGGUGGCCAACUAAGUCAGACGUGAAAUCCCUCGGCUUAACCGGGGAACUGCGUCUGAUACUGGAUGGCUAGAGAUUGGGAGAGGGAUGCGGAAUUCCAGGUGUAGCGGUGAAAUGCGUAGAUAUGCGGAGGAACACCGAUGGCGAAGGCAAUCCCCUGGGCCUGCACUGACGCUCAUGCACGAAAGCGUGGGGAGCAAACAGG